rnacentral:rRNA from 1 species
CGGGCGGGACGGGGUGGAGGUAAACGACGUGGAGUAAACCUGCCUCACACAGGGGGAUAACAGUUAGAAAUGACUGCUAAUACCGCAUAAGCGCACAGUACCGCAUGGUACAGUGUGAAAAACUCCGGUGGUGUGAGAUGGAUCCGCGUCUGAUUAGGUAGUUGGUGGGGUAACGGCCCACCAAGCCGACGAUCAGUAGCCGACCUGAGAGGGUGACCGGCCACAUUGGGACUGAGACACGGCCCAA